AUACUCAGACAGCAGAGCCAACCCAUGCAGGUAAGGAGCUUAGUGUGAUAAUUUUUAACCCUGGACAGUCCCUAUUUAUCUGUGAUGAACCCUGAGCAAAGGGCCAGAAAGUCUGUGAGUUCUGGCUGAGGCCAUUGAAAAACAUGCUGAGAAUUUACAUAGUUACGGUGGUCACCAGGACAGGCUGAAGAUUUCUUAGCUAAAAUUCUUGGCUCAAGAAGGGUUGUGGUUUAUUUUUUUUUCUUGGUAUUGAAACAUUUUCAGUAUGUAUUGUGUUAUCUUGGCAAUACCUUGAGGUCUGAAGAACUAACUUCUGAGCAAACCAGCAGCAUCUUGGUGAGCAUUAUGGUGAGUUCUCUUCUCCAUCAAAAGGUAACACAAUUCAUGGACAUUCUGAUUUCUCCUUUUCUUGUCUUUGUUUCAACCUUAUACAAUCAACUUGUAGCAGCUUGAAUGGCCUAAUGACUUUGUUUAUUGUGUGUUUUUUAAUAGUUGUAUCAGGCAUUAGACCCUUGUGACAUAAUAAAGGCUCAAAUGGUUGAAGUUUGAGACUAAGAACAUUUACAGCACCCUAGAAGGGCUCUGACCUCAUCUGUAUACCCUAGCUGUGAGAACAGUUCUUGGGAGCUUUCUAGAAUGUAACUCUGUGUAUCCCUAUGUACAGCAAAAAUGUGUUUAUUUGUUCUCUCAAUUUGGUCAGUGUCACAACUAGAGUGGUCUGGCUAGGUCUCCUGGUUUGUUGUGUUCUUAUUUUUUCUGAACUUAAAUAACUUCUUUUGGGAAGGUUCAUAAAUUUGAAAAUAAUAAAUAAAAUUUAAAUUAAAAAAUUCCCAU
rnacentral:lncRNA from 1 species